rnacentral:rRNA from 1 species
AUUGAACGCUGGCGGAAUGCUUUACACAUGCAAGUCGAACGGCAGCACGGGGCAACCUGGUGGCGAGUGGCGAACGGGUGAGUAAUACAUCGGAACGUGCCCAAUCGUGGGGGAUAACGUAGCGAAAGUUACGCUAAUACCGCAUACGAUCUACGGAUGAAAGCGGGGGAUCGCAAGACCUCGCGCGAGUGGAGCGGCCGAUGUCAGAUUAGGUAGUUGGUGGGGUAAAGGCUCACCAAGCCAACGAUCUGUAGCUGGUCUGAGAGGACGACCAGCCACACUGGAACUGAGACACGGUCCAGACUCCUACGGGAGGCAGCAGUGGGGAAUUUUGGACAAUGGGCGAAAGCCUGAUCCAGCCAUGCCGCGUGCAGGAAGAAGGCCUCGGUUGUAACUAGCUUAGUCUAGGAAAAGGGUAGGCGAGGUUAAGUACCUACGUGCUUGUAUGGUACUGGAAGAAUAAGACACCGGCUAACUACGUGCCAGCAGCCGCGGUAAAACG